GCGAGGCCAACGAAUCCCCUGG
rnacentral:misc_RNA from 1 species